UACGUAGGGGGCUAGCGUUGUCCGGAAUCAUUGGGCGUAAAGCGCGUGUAGGCGGUCCGGUAAGUCCGCUGUGAAAGUCGGGGGCUCAACCUCGAGAUGUCGGCUGAAACCAUCUGGCUAGAGUCCGGAAGAGGAGAAUGGAAUUCCCGGUGUAGCGGUGAAAUGCGCAGAUAUCAGGAGGAACACCGAUGGCGAAGGCAGUUCUCUGGGCCGUAACUGACGCUGAGGGGCGAAAGCGUGGGGAGCGAACAGG
rnacentral:rRNA from 1 species